AACGAACGCUGGCGGCAGGCUUAACACAUGCAAGUCGAGCGCCCCGCAAGGGGAGCGGCAGACGGGUGAGUAACGCGUGGGAACGUACCCUUUGCUACGGAAUAGCUCCGGGAAACUGGAAUUAAUACCGUAUGUGCCCUUCGGGGGAAAGAUUUAUCGGCAAAGGAUCGGCCCGCGUUGGAUUAGCUAGUUGGUGGGGUAAAGGCCUACCAAGGCGACGAUCCAUAGCUGGUCUGAGAGGAUGAUCAGCCACAUUGGGACUGAGACACGGCCCAAACUCCUACGGGAGGCAGCAGUGGGGAAUAUUGGACAAUGGGCGCAAGCUUGAUCCAGCCAUGCCGCGUGAGUGGUGAAGGCCCUAGGGUUGUAAAGCUCUUUCAGUAGGGAAGAUAAUGACGGUACCUACAGAAGAAGCCCCGGCUAACUUCGUGCCAGCCGCCGCAGUAAGAC
rnacentral:rRNA from 1 species